GUGGGGAAUAUUGGGCAAUGGGGGCAACCCUGACCCAGCGACGCCGCGUGAGGGAAGAAGGCCUUAGGGUCGUAAACCUCUGUUGUGUGGGAAGAAGGAAGUGACGGUACCACACGAGGAAGUCCCGGCUAACUACGUGCCAGCAGCCGCGGUAAUACAGAGGUCUCAAGCGUUGUUCGGAAUGAUUGGGCGUAAAGGGCGCGUAGGCGGGAAGGUGUGUCGACCUGUAAAUCUAUCGUUUCAAGCGGGAGGCUUGGGUUGAAACUGCCUUUCUAGGGGAUUUGAGGGGAGUUUGGAAUUUACGGUGUAGCAGUGAAAUGCGUGGGUAUCGUAAGGAAGGCUUGUGGCGAAGGCGAAACUCUGGGGAAUACCUGACGCUGAGGCGCGAAGGCUAGGUUAGCAACGGGAUUAGAAACCCCUGUAGUCC
rnacentral:rRNA from 1 species